rnacentral:lncRNA from 1 species
ACUGGGAACUAUUCGUAGUUCUCACCCCACUUUGUUGCAGGACCGAGUACGAGUGCACCAGCUGAGGAUCGUGGUAAGGGCUUAGCGCCCUAGUGUUGGUAGCAUACCUUCCUAUUGCAUUAGAGUUACUCUAUAUAUAUUGAGAGUAGAUGAUGUAUACGAUGUGAGAUAUUUUGGGAUGAAUGUAAACUAAUAUUUAUACUUUGGAAGAUGUAAGCUUUACGUUAUGUUUUGGAAGCUUAAUGUAUAAUUAAAUUGUAUAAAGUUGAAUGAAUGUAAUAGAUAGAUGUUCCUCUCUUUUAUUCACCU